rnacentral:rRNA from 1 species
UACGAAGGUCCCAAGCGUUAUCCGGAUUUAUUGGGUUUAAAGGGUGCGUAGGCGGGUUAUUAAGUCAGUGGUGAAAAGCCUUCAGCUCAACUGAAGAAUUGCCAUUGAUACUGAUGAUCUUGAGUAUGAUUGAGGGUGGGCGGAAUGUGUCAUGUAGCGGUGAAAAUGCUUUAGAUAAUGACACAGAAACACCCGAUUGCGAAGGCAGCUCACUAAGUC